rnacentral:rRNA from 2 species
UCUAGGCCCCGUCAGGAGCCCGAGUUGUAAUUUGGAGAGGACACUUCGGGUGCCUCGUAACGGCGAGUGAAGCGGCAAAAGCUCAAAUUUGAAAUCUGGCCCUUUCAGGGUCCGAGUUGUAAUUUGCAGAGGAUGCUUCGGGAGCGGCGGUGGUCUAAGUCCCCUGGAACGGGGCGUCGCAGAGGGUGAGAAUCCCGUCUUGGACCGCAUGCCCGUGACCGUGUGAAGCUCCUUCGACGAGUCGAGUUGUUUGGGAAUGCAGCUCAAAAUGGGUGGUAAAUUUCAUCUAAAGCUAAAUACUGGCUGGAGACCGAUAGCGCACAAGUAGAGUGAUCGAAAGGUUAAAAGCACCUUGAAAAGGGAGUUAAAUAGCACGUGAAAUUGUUGAAAGGGAAGCGCUUGCAACCAGACUCGGCCGCAGAGGCUCAGCGGGCACGUGUGCCCGUGCACUCCUCUGUGGCCGGGCCAGCAUCAGUUCUGACGGCCGGUCAAAGGCCCCUGGAAUGUAUCCUCCUCCGGGAGGUCUUAUAGCCAGGGGUGCAAUGCGGCCAGUUGGGACUGAGGAACGCGCUUCGGCACGGAUGCUGGCGUAAUGGUUGUAAGCGACCCGUCUUGAAAC